rnacentral:misc_RNA from 1 species
UACGUAGGGGGCAAGCGUUGUCCGGAAUUAUUGGGCGUAAAGCGCGCGUAGGCGGUUCCUUAAGUCAGAGGUGAAAUCUUGCGGCUCAACCGCAAGCGGUCAUUGGAUACUGGGGAACUUGAGUACAGAAGAGGAGAGCGGAAUUCCACGUGUAGCGGUGAAAUGCGUAGAUAUGGGGAGGAACACCAGUGGCGAAGGCGGCUCUCUGGUCUGUAACUGACGCUGAGGUGCGAAAGCGUGGGGAGCGAACAGG